GCGUGCGGAUGGCUCAUUAAAACAGUUAUAGUUUAUUUGAUGGUCUUUACUACAUGGAUAACCGUGGUAAUUCUAUGGCUAAUACAUGCGCACAUGCCUCUUCCCCUGGAAGGGCAGUGUUUAUUAGAUACAGAACCAACCCACCUUCCGGUGGUCCUCAGGUGAUUCAUAGUAACCGAACGGAUCGCGUUGACUUCGGUCUGCGACGGAUCAUUCAAGUUUCUGACCUAUCAGCUUUCGACGGUACUGUAUUGGACUACCGUGGCAA
rnacentral:rRNA from 1 species